GGGCCCCACCUCCACGCACCCCGCGUCCCUCCCCCGCCGGCAACCCGCUCGCCCCACGCCCUCCGCUCGCCCUCGCAGGCGCCGUGUCCGACUCCGGCCUCCCCGAUGAGCGCGGGUCGCCGGUUCUCCGCUACUCCGCCAUCUCCUACAGCCGACGUCGGACGCACGCCCUGCCAUCAGGCUCAGGCGCAUUGGAGGCAGCCAUCCUACCUCGGUCGGCCUCCCAUCGAUGCUGCCAUCGCCGCUCCAGGACCCUCCGACGACCAGAUCUGGUCAGCGGAGGGGGCGCCACCCCUCUCGCAUGCCGCUUCACCUCGCCUCGUCUCCUCGCGCAAGCCGCCUCCUCGAUGGCAUUCUGGAGGCCGGAGAGCGGCCUGAGGACGACGACGUCGGCGUCGAGGUAGACGCCGCCCCAGCCUGGCGACGCCGACGCCACAGGCCCCCCGAUCCAGAUCCAGGUAUCAGGAUGGCUUAACUUUCUUGGACGGAUUUCUUGGACGCGGAUCUGCUUGCUCUGCUGCGUGCUGCUGCUUCCGAGGCUUUUCGUCAUUCAUUUGCAGCAAGGAGGGAGGGAAGGAGAAGGCCCCGGCCAAGUCCGGAGGUGGAAGAAGAAGAAGAAAGUGGAGCAAGGGCAAGCAGAAGGAGAAGGUCAACAACGCCGUGCUCUUCGACCAGGCCACCACCUAUGACAAGCUGCUCUCCGAGCUUAUCUGUAGGAAAAGCAUAUGCUAUUUCAGAACUAAAAAUGAUGCUGAUUCUGCUAUUUCAAAAAUCAAUUCAGGCUUGGUUGUUGGUGGAAGGUGACAGCGAGGGUAGUGCUGCACGGCAGCAGAGCAGCGGCGGUGAGGGGAAUGCCUCAAUGCAUGGUAAACGGGCACUUUGUGCAGAAUUUAUUCUGUAAGACUGAACUUUGUGCAGAAUUAUGGAAGGAAGAAAAGACAAAAGAAUGGCAUAUCAGAGCAACCAGUAAGCAAGCACGAUUGGUGAGCCAGAUACCAUUCUGUAUUCUCUUUUACCAUAUUGAUUUUUUUGCUUUUCAUUUGCUGUGAAAUGCUCUGAAUAAAAGCAUGAGUGUUUUUAUGUUUACUACAAUAGAUUACAAUAUUUCUUCUCUCGGGAAAUGUCAUAAUAAUGCUUUGGCAGGGUAGGGCAGGUGCAUUCUCUUAUGGGAGUGACCAUCUGUGAGCUAGAUUUUAGUUGUAUCUCUGCUUGUGAUUGAAAUAAUGACCUGAAGUGGAUUUUAGGGUAGGGCAGGUGCAUAGAGUUUCCAAACCUAUGUUUAUGGGUUCUUACUCUGAUUCGUUGAAUGGAUCUGCAAUAUUAAAUAAUGGAGGUAGUGAAGAAUAUAUUGUGAACCACAUUUCUCUUAAUAUAUUGUAUCAUGUUUUUGGCCAGGAUGUUUUUCUGUACAAUUGUCCAUUGAAGUAUUUUUUUAAUACAUGUUUCUUUUUGCAUUACUGGGCAAGUUUGCAGUCAGGGUCUUGAUCAAGAAAUGCUCCCCUCUGACAUAUAUUAUAUUUUGGUUGUUUUCAUGUGCAUGCUUCAACUGACACAGAGCUUAUAGGAGCUUUGAUGGACUUGUCUUGCUGGCCAGGCAAGAGCAACAGCAUCGCUGUUUUUUGGAGUCCAUCUUGAUAGUUGUUGCUGAAUUGUCUGUUUCCCCCCCAUGCUACCACAUUAAUGCAGACCUUUUAUUGAUUGGGCUUCCUACUGCUACGCUAUGUUUAGUUUUUUUUUUUGAGUGUGCUAAACUUUUUCUAUUUCUUAAAUUGUUAAUCCUGCUGUUUACUUUUGAUUCUGGAAAGAAGUCGAGGAGGCUAUCCAUCAGGUUUAAGAGGCUUAGUAUGGUUGAGAUCCCAAGAUAUUCUCUCCAUUUGCCUAAAAUGCUGCUUGCAAAUAUAUUCUCUCUGUUUGCUUGAAUACAACAUGCAACAAGACUUAUUUCAUCAUUAUUAAUUGCCUAUCAUUUUUCAGAUUUCAAAAAUGUAUUAGGAGAGUGCGCGGACUGCCCAUAAUGUGAUUUCAUGCAUUAUAGGACAACUUUUGAGAUGGUUUUUGGUUGCCAAUGUGUAUAUAUAUCAUGCUUGGUUGUUUAAAAUGAUACCCGUAGCAUUAGCACGGGCAAGCAAAAGCAGUCGAACUGAAUUUUUUCCUGGUUUCUGCUGGAUCGAGAUAGAAGAUGGUAGCAGUAAGCAGUGUGCUACUGGAUAAGAACAGAGCCAAGCGAAGGGCCAGAAGCAUUGUGCUACAAGAAAAGCAAAUGCAUCUGCCUCAGUACGAAUUUUGUUAUCAGGUACUCCUCUCACCACCUCCCACCGAUGCAUGCCAAGUGCUUGAUAAAAUUACUGGAUGGUAGGAUUGUACUUUGAUUGUCAGAAUCUGGAUGAAAUUACCCAUGAACGAAUUGUCUUUGAUUGGUUUUGAGAGAACAGUAAAUUUGCACCACUGCUAGAGGUGAAGUUUAAGCUUCUUAAUAAUCAGUUUAUGUAUGCAGUUAUAUUAUAUUAGAACAUAUUAUUGCAUUGAAUAGCUUUGUGUUCUUUUCAGUAAUGCAAUGAUGGUCCGCAUAAUGAAAGAAUAGAUUAGGCUAUCCAUGUUCUUUUCAGUAAUUGUCUUUGCUAAACAUUUUUUAGUGGAUUAGUUGUGUAUUUCCAUGUGGAGCUUACCGAGAAGCAAUGCGUCUGGGCAGGAAGUCCCCCGAUGAUGUGGUGCUCAACAACAUGUCUUCCAGGAGUCAUGCACAGUACAUGUCCACCGUUGUCUGUGGUGAUCUACCUAAGGCUCUAAGCACUCAAGGCAAGAGAGGUUGGGCUACCAUAUUUUCACUUCAGAAUAAAUCAGGUUAGUGGGUUGUAUUUCGAUUUUCUCAUUGUGCUCUAAUUUAAUAUGCAUAAUAGGUCUCCAAAUUUUCACUUCUGAAUUUUUUAGGCGCAUUGGCUUUUCCAGGCUUUUAUGUGUAAUUGGACUGAGAUGUAGUAAACUGUUGAUUUUGUGCCAGAAACACAUGGCAAAGACUGAAGAGGAAAUGAGUAUAGCAGUAAUAUUGCUAGAGUUAGUCAUGUACAUGUGUUGUUUCCCGUGGCCCAAACCCUAAAACUACCCACAUUUUUGGAGAUCGUGUUUUUAAGCUUCAAGCUGAGCACCUGAUGCCUGGUGAAAAUAAGGAUAAAGAGAACAUGCCUCCUCUUGUGAAAGAGGGUGCCAUGAGCUUCUGUAGUUUUUGCAGUGACAGUGAGAAGCUGAAAUAAGGGAGAGAUAUCUACAUCUAUCAGGGUGACAAAGCCUUUUGCAGCAGAGUGCAGGGAGAAUUUCAUGGAAAAUGAGAUGGAAGAAGGUGAACCCAUGAUAUAUCAUCUUGCACCUCCGAGCAGUUCACCUUUGGACAAUGGUCCUAUUUUCCAACUGAUCCGUUGAGUGAAAAUUAGCAACAACUUGAUAUGGUCGUAUCUGAAGUGUUGUCUGAGGUUAAUAAGUUGCAGCCAUGGAUGUGAUCAUGUUUGCGGAGUUGUUGCCUGAAGAUUUUGUUUGUGCGGCUUACCUCACCUAUUGAUUUCUUUGUUUUGCGUACUAGGAUCCUCAAAUUUUUUGGAGGACUUUGAAGAAUGACUAUAUCUCUGGUCAUAUUAUUAUCUUGAUCAGAGAGGGGCGUGUGUGUGUGCGUGUCUGAACUUGAGUUUGGCUGUUUGGACCUCAUUUUCAGUGGCUGUCGGAUGUUCGACACUUGUGUUACUAUCAUGUAUCUGAACCUAUGUUUUCAGUAUGUAUUUCGGAAAGGAAAUGGUAAACUAUGAUAUCAAUAAAUGUUUAUUUUGUAA